AUUGAACGCUGGCGGCAGGCCUAACACAUGCAAGUCGAACGAGUGGCGGACGGGUGAGUAAUGUCUGGGACACUGCCUGAUGGGGGGGGAUAACUAGUGAAAACGGUAGAUAAUACCGCAUAACCUGGGGUGCGCCCAGAUGGGAUUAGCUAGUAGGUGGGGUAACGGCUCACGUAGGCGACGAUCCCUAGCUGGUCUGAGAGGAUGACCAGCCACACGGGAACUGAGACACGGUCCAGACUCCUACGGGAGGCAGCAGUGGGGAAUAUUGCACAAUGGGCGCAAGCCUGAUGCAGCCAUGCCGCGUGUGUGAAGAAGGCCUUCGGGUUGUAAAGCACUUUCAGCGGGGAGGCGUUACCCGCAGAAGAAGCACCGGCUAACUCCGUGCCAGCCGCCGCGGUAAUAC
rnacentral:rRNA from 1 species